GCGCGGGUGGCGGAAUUGGUAGACGCGCACGUUUGAGGGGCGUGUGGGGCAACCCUUGAGAGUUCGACCCUCUCCUCGCGCA
rnacentral:tRNA from 1 species